rnacentral:tRNA from 1 species
GCGGUGGUAGUUCAGCGGCAGAAUGUCUCCUUGCCAAGGAGAAGGUCGAGGGUUCAAAUCCCUUCCACCGCU